rnacentral:rRNA from 1 species
UACGUAGGUGACAAGCGUUGUCCGGAUUUACUGGGCGUAAAGAGCGCGCAGGCGGUCGUUCAAGUCGAGUGUGAAAGCCCCCGGCUCAACUGGGGAGGGUCAUUCGAUACUGAUCGACUCGAAGGCAGGAGAGGGAAGUGGAAUUCCCGGUGUAGUGGUGAAAUGCGUAGAUAUCGGGAGGAACACCAGUGGCGAAGGCGGAUCUCUGGGCCUGUCCUGACGCUCAGGCGCGAAAGCUAGGGGAGCAAACAGG